AGAGUGCAGUUUCUGAGUACCAAAUAGGUCUACAAAGGGUCCAUCAUGAAUCAUCAUAAGACUAAUUUUAUAAAAGAUCUAUUAGGGAUUCCUUAUUCAUCUUAAAGAAUGAAGUAGUAUAUGAAUUGCCCAAGAACCAUGUUCAAUAAAUGCAGUUUCUAGUACCAAAACCAUCUGCUUAGGGACCACAUUAUCAUCAUAUCAUAUCAUCAUGUAAUAUACUAAAUAGUGGGAAGCUCCAUAAUUGAAAGUUAUAUUACGAUAAUACUCUUCAAAAGUUGAUUGACUAAAUUACCCUCAAUCUAAAAGUAAAAUUACCCUCAUCUAAACACUAUUCCUGUAAUAUAUUUGUUUCAAAUAGGAAUCUACCUUCCAAUAAAUGAUAAAUGAAACAAUUAAUAGAAAAUCAUCUCUUAUUAACCAAUUAGCAAUUAUAAUGGAAAGAAACGUUACUUAUCAUGUUAAUAAAUUGUAACCUUUCAAAGUGUAAUGAAUUAGUAAUUAUAAUGGGAAAAAAUGUCAGUUAUCAUGUUAACCAGACAGAUUAUGAGGAGUUACCAUUAAUAAUACAACAUGGUCUACAUUCAUUUGAUGUGAAUAAGUGCAACUCUACAAAUCCAUUUUACGUUAAUCAAUGCUUCUUUUCAUCUCUCAUACUUUAAAUGCCAUAUACUAAAUGAAUACUUCAUCUUCACUUUUACUUGUCCACUAUUCUAUUAAUAGAUUUUCACUUUUACUUGUCCACUUUCGCAUAUCAAGAGAAAAAUAAUUUAUUUUUUCUAUUUUACCCUUAAUAUUAAUUACUCAUUCCAAAUUAUUUUUCAAAUCCAAUGCAAUUAUACAUUAAUUAAUAUGGGUAUCAUGACAAAAUGUGCAUUUCAUUUAUUAUUUCUUAAGAAGUGUGUAAAGUCCAUAGUGGACAAGUAAAAGUGAACGGAGGGAUUACAAAGAUAGUCCCACAAACUAGGCCACGAUAAUAUCAUAAUUAUGAGUCGGGUUAUUAGUCACGAUAUCUACACACUUCAUAUUCCCAUCCAUCUUCGCUCCAUUUAUAUAAAUUCAAAUAAUCAUAGCAAACAAAGUGAGUUGCAGCAGUAGUAGAAAGGGAGAGAUUUGUUUGAACUAAGGAAAGAUUUCUCCAGCUCAUGUCCAACAGCCAGUGUUUUAAAAUGAAGUCUUGCCCGGGGCGGGGCACUGGCAAAACCCCCGGGGCAUACAUCGGGGCUUAAUUGCUGUGAGGCUUACGCCCUAAGCGCCCGACUGUAAGCCCUAAAACGCCUAAGCUCGACUGUACGCCCUAAACACACCUAACGCUCAAUGCUCGCCUAACGGUUCUUACAAAAAUUAUAUGUUAAAUUCCUUAAUUAAGGUCGUUGACCUUCAUAAUUCUUUAACAAAUGAAUGAUAGUUAAUACUUUUUCAUCUAUAGAAAUAAGAAGAUUGAGUGUAACUCAAAUAACAAGUCGUAAUAUUGUAUAUUUACUAUUUGAGAACAUCGUGAGAGUGAAUAACACUUAAAAAUUCUUUUAAAAAUGCAUAGCCGAAUUGUACAUUUCACUUGUCAUUGGUCUUUUGUCCCAUGUAUCAAAAUUAUCAUAUUUUAUUAUUUCGAUAUUUGAAAGUAAUUUUAUUUUUAUUCGUGAAGAAAUUACAUUUUAAUUAUAAUACUGAUAAAUUUUAUUGAUUAUUUGCUUAUAUGAAGAUAAAAUGAAUAUUAUGAUAGUAAUAUUGUUUUAAGAAAGAAAUUGUGAUUUUUUCACUGUUUGAAAGUUCAGAUGUUAGAGUUGAUUUGCAUUUCAUAAUUAGUUUUAUUUCAUUGUAUUGUUUAUGCUUCUAAAGUUAUGUUAUGUAUAAUUACUAGUUGUAAGUGGCGUAUAAUGAAUUGCUUUGAUUAGUAUUUUGUGAGGAUAGAGCGCAUAUUAUUUUUCUUUUAUUUUUUUAUGUAAUUUUACCUAGUUAAAAAUAUUAUUAUAAUUAUAUUAUUUUAUGAAAUACUAAAAAUUAAAUACUUAUGGGGCUUACGGCCCGUGUCUCGGUGCUCAAGCCUUGCCGAGGCAUAUGUAAAACGCUCUGCCUUACGCCCCCGCCUUUUAAAACACUGCCAACAGCUAUGUGUUCUUUUAGUUAAUAUUAUCUCUCCAGUAUUUGUUCUAUCAUGUCUUAUGCUUAGGCCUUGGGUUGUUUUGAAUUUCCUUUCUUGGGAUAGUUUUCUAAAAUUUGGUAGUCUGCCAAAAAAUUUAUAAUCGCUGUCGGCCCACAUGCAUUUUUUUACUACUAAUUUUUAUUUUCAUUUUCAUUUUUUCAUCGUCAUUUAUAGCAAUUGACAUUGCUUAUCUGAUUAAGAUUAUGAAUAGUUGGUGGUCAUAGCAAGAAUGAAUUAUCAUCAGUUUCAUUAUCAAUGUGUGAGGGUAAUGAAAUUCAGAAAGCCCUAUUCACUACUGCACUCCAGCAUAUUGACACUAAAAGGUUUCUUUAUAGUUAAUUAUAUGUCAUUGUUUCAUCUCUUUUGUUUAUUUACAUCCUACUUCAGUUUGUUUCCUAUGAUCUGAUAAUUCCCUUACAAUUGUUAAGUAUUACCAUUUGCAAGGGUGAAUGAGAUGGCAAUAUAAAUGAGACAAAUGGAACUAAUAAAAUUAAAGGAACUGAAGUGGAUGUUUAUAUGUGCUAUAUAAUCUCAUUCUACGUUUUUAGUAUUAUUCUUUUAUCGUUACGUUAUCUUCUUUAAAUAUAAUUUGGGAACUAUGGGAUUAAAAACAUGAAGUGUCAGCUUAAGUAAAUACCUGCAAAUUGUAAAGGCUUGGCCAAGCAAAGAUAAAUAUGUAUAUUACUGAAUUCAACUUGGAUUUAAUUAUUAUUUAAUUUCUUUUCUCUUUUCAGGGUGUAUUUCCUACUCAAAAUAAGUUAUCCUACCUUUAAAUUCUGAAGAUUAAUGUGUGUUUAUUGAGCUAUAUUUGUAGGUUUUGUGGAGAUAUAUAUUUUUUCGUGGUGUCUUUAUUAAUUUCGUUAGAGAUAUUUACAUGCAUUUUUUAAAUUUAGAGCAGGAAUUCAUCGAUAUACCACAUACCAUUAGAUGCUAUAUUAUCUUAAUUAGUUUUACGUACUUUAGCAUUUCCUAUUUUGCAAACAACUGACUAAUAAUUAAAUAAAUGAAAAUUAGCUGACACGGUUGUGUUUAUAUAGAGAAACAUAUAUUUGGUAGAAUAUAUUUUAGUCUAGAAGAGUAUAUUUGAAAUCAUCCUUUGCAUUUUUUUGGAUGCAAAAGUAAGCUCUAUAUAUAAACACAUUAAUCAAUACAUGGUCAUCAUAUUUACAAAAAUAUUAUGAGAUAAAUAACUAUCACCAUGAAAAUAGGUCUGUACAAAUUUUAUAUAGUAGUAGCGCUCAAACGUGCAACGCACGUUCCAAAGACUAGUUGCAUUAUAAUACACGUUACAAAACAAGUAACAACAAUAAAACCAAGAUAUAUAUGUGUUGAUAAUUAGUCUUCUACUUGAUUUUCAUUUCAUGUUUUAAUCUAGAAAGACAGUCUACCAGUUCCUGCUUUAGUUCAACAACUAUUCAAAAGUCAUAACAGCCGUCAACUUAGGGCAUUCAGUAAGGACCCAAAUUCCGAUGCAACAACGCCUGGCAAUUAUCUCUUUUGGUUUGAUAGAUAUUAAUACCUUAUUUUGAAGGUAUUGGACUCGGACCAGGCUUGAAAAUCAGGAACAAUGGCUUAACCUAGCAACUAGACAGGACUGAAACUUGAGGAUUUUAGCUUAGCAUACAAGGUGAAAAUGGCAAAAUCAGACAAAAAAUAAAAUAUGACAGGUCGUCAACAGCUUGGGUGGAGGGUUCGAGUUUUAGUAUCUCGUCACUUCUGCUGCUAAUAUUUUAGCUGCUAUUUUAAGUGGUUCUCACCAAUGUUCCCCUUAGAAUGUAAUGUACGUAGAUAACUGAAGAGUAAUUCGUAAUCGAAAUGGUAAUUUGAGAGCUAAAAUGGACUGUUAUUAAUCACUGAAAGAUUACAACCAAAAGGUUACAAGGUUACAACCAAAUGAUCGCAAGAUCAGAAUGGUAACAGUGUGAAACUCUAGUUUGAGCUUCAACCUGCAAUGGUGGAAUUAAUGGUGAGAUUAGAGGGAGAAGAUAGAGAGAAUUGGAGAAGAAGAAGAGAAUUGAAGAAAUGGGCUCAGAAUUUACCGGUCCAAAACUAACUCUCCAUUGAGGCCCAAUGCAGAUAUAUACAACUAAUCAACCCAAUUACUAACUAAUCUCGGUCGUCGAUCUCAUCACCGCCUCAAUGAUUUAAUCCCCUCCGUUGAAUUAAUGAGCCCAGUCAACUGCCAGCUGGUGCCAACUGUGCGCCAACUGGUCCUGUCGUUACACGCCACGUCUCCCACUUGAUAACAAAACCACUAAACCCUCCUCAUUUCUCUACUUUCCUAAUCAGAAAAACCUAAGCGUCGUUUCCUUACAAACCCUCCUCCUUCAAAUCGACCUUGUCCUCAAGGUCGGAGUUGAGCUACAAAUGUCGGGAACCUACUCUGAAUGUAAUCCCAAUCCUCCCACGUGGCAGCAUCGGGGCCCAAAUUAGCCCACUGAACCAAAACCUUAACCCCCAUUGCAUUAUUGACCUUCACCAUUCUUCGUUGGAGAAUCGCGAUUGGCUGCAUCAAAAUGUAACCGUCGACAUCACAAGCAGGUGGGGUGUUGGUGUGCAACCAAGUCCGACCCGAUACAUCGCUCUAGUUGAGACACAUGGAAGACCGGACGGAUCUGCGAGCCCGAUGGAAGCUCUAAACGACCUUGGGGAGCCCGAGGCGUAGAUUGGAAUUCACUUUAGAUUGGCCAUCUUGGAGUGCGUACGAGGUAUGUAAAGCAACCUCCCUUCUUUUUGGCAUGUCUUAGUUUUACAUAGGCUAGAUUAGAGCCUUAAGGAAAUUCCAAAUCCGAAAUCCGAGCAUGAUAUGAUCUAUAUAUGUUCCUUGGCACUCUUAUGUAUGAUUUGAUGAAAUAUGAACCUUUAUGUAUUUGAAAUAAUCGCUUUCCGAACUUUGCGCAAAAAGGUUUCACUUUAAAGAACUUCGAAAUUUCUGAAUGCCAUACAUUUCACAUAAAUGCUCGGAUUGCUCCAAUAUUUUUAUAAAAUUUUGCAUUAUGUAUGAUACGUAUGUUUUCCAUAGGCGGGCCCGACUUGGGUAAAUACCCGUCCGUGGGUCCCGCGACUUUCCUUUAUGUAAUUCAGAGAAUCUUUGAAAGAAUUUGGUAUGAUUAUUAUUCCGAUUUCAAAUAUGAUCAUUUUACUUAUGUUUGAAUUUAUGAUAAUGAUUUUAUGCAUAUGACUACUCACGACUCUACUCGUGCAUUCUGUUAUUCCUUUCGCCGAGUCCCGGGCCGGUUCUGUUGUCGUGCGCAUUUUGAUAUACUCCGGAGUUAUGCUGUGUUUAUGGUUCACCGAGCUACUCGCAAAAGAGGGUCGGGUUCCACCUAUAUUUGGUGUUAUGCUGUGUAUGGCGUUAUGUUGUGAUGUGAUAUGUGACGGGGAUACGGAGAUUUGAAACUUUCUGGUGUUAUGCUGUGUUAUGGCGCCAUCGACGGGUGGGCGACCAUAUUCUUCUGUACCCUAUGCAUUACUUACAUAUUUUUGAAAGUAAGCAAAUUUUGAUAUGUUGAAUUUGCACUUAUGUUUGGUACUUCCAUUUCGUUUAUGUCUCAGAUUUGCUUUCUGUAUAUUCUGCUUUGCAUACUCAGUACAUAUUUCGUACUGACCCCCUUUCUUCGAGGGCUGCGUUUCAUGCCCGCAGGUACAGAUGCACAGUUUGGUGAUCUACCCAUUUAGGACACCCUCUUCUGCUGUUUGGAGUGCUCUUCUCAUUUCAGAGCACACAUUUUGACGUUGUGUUCAUGCCCACAGGUAGACAGGGAGACAGUGCAGACCCGUAGGAGCUUAUCUCAUUAGCGGAUUCACAGGAACACUCCACUACUCCGGAGGUAGACAGGGAGGAGAACUUGAGACAGAGUCGUAGGAGCUGCUAGCUGAUUGAAAGCACUCCUUUGUUCCAGAGGUAGACAGGGAGACGGUGCAGACCCGUAGGAGCUUAUCUUAUCACCGGAUUCACAGGAGAACUCCACUAUUCCGGAGGGGUAUGAGAUGAUCAUGAUUCCUCCUGGGAGGUAGGCUCUUUGGUUAAGCAAAUACAUAUGGGAACCUGCUCACCACUUGGUGAAGCUCCUCAGGAAAAGAACCAGGACUCUGCCUUCCCUGACAGAUGCAUCACUGCAAUCUCAAGCUUCUGAUCCGGGUCGAAGAUGCGAUCGUACUGGAAGUACCUAUCAGCCUUUCUCAACCACUAACAAGGAUCAACUCCAUCGAAAUAUGGAAACUCAAAUCUAGGGUGGUGAUCCCUAGGGUUCGAUGAUCUUGUAUACUCGUUCGCUUCUCCUCAUGCAUUUUUGCCGCCUGAAAGUUCCAUUUGACGAACUCCUCUAGGUGCACUACCUAGGAUUCCUUCCUGAGUUGGAGUUUGACUUGAAGAGGUGUUACCAGUUGCUCCUUCUGGCUUAUUGACCAAUUUUUCCAACAGAAAAUCCAUUGUUUUACCUAGUUCUUCCAUUUUCGGGUCAUUAGACUCGAUGUAAGUUUGUAAUUGAGUAUCCAAUUUAUUUUACCAA